rnacentral:rRNA from 1 species
AACGAACGCUGGCGGCAUGCCUAACACAUGCAAGUCGAACGAGACCUUCGGGUCUAGUGGCGCACGGGUGCGUAACGCGUGGGAACAUGCCCUUAGGUUCGGACUAACUCCCCGAAAGGGGUGCUAAUACCGGAUAAUGUCUUCGGACCAAAGAUUUAUCGCAUUUGGAUGGGCCCGCGUUGGAUUAGCUAGUUGGUAGGGUAAAAGCCUACCAAGGCGACGAUCCAUAGCUGGUCUGAGAGGAUGAUCAGCCACACUGGGACUGAGACACGGCCCAGACUCCUACGGGAGGCAGCAGUGGGGAAUAUUGGACAAUGGGCGAAAGCCUGAUCCAGCAAUGCCGCGUGAGUGAUGAAGGCCUUAGGGUUGUAAAGCUCUUUUACCCGUGAUGAUAAUGACAGUACCGGGAGAAUAAGCUCCGGCUAACUCCGUG